UAUCAAUAAGCGGAGGAAAAGAAACCAACAGGGAUUGCCCUAGUAACGGCGAGUGAAGCGGCAACAGCUCAAAUUUGAAAUCUGGCUCUUUUAGAGUCCGAGUUGUAAUUUGCAGAGGGCGCUUUGGCUUUGGCAGCGGUCCAAGUUCCUUGGAACAGGACGUCACAGAGGGUGAGAAUCCCGUACGUGGUCGCUAGCUAUUGCCGUGUAAAGCCCCUUCGACGAGUCGAGUUGUUUGGGAAUGCAGCUCUAAAUGGGAGGUAAAUUUCUUCUAAAGCUAAAUAUUGGCCAGAGACCGAUAGCGCACAAGUAGAGUGAUCGAAAGAUGAAAAGCACUUUGGAAAGAGAGUCAAACAGCACGUGAAAUUGUUGAAAGGGAAGCGCUUGCAGCCAGACUUGCUUGCAGUUGCUCAUCCGGGCUUUUGCCCGGUGCACUCUUCUGCAGGCAGGCCAGCAUCAGUUUGGGCGGUGGGAUAAAGGUCUCUGACACGUUCCUCUCUUCGGGGAGGCCAUAUAGGGGAGACGUCAUACCACCAGCCUGGACUGAGGUCCGCGCAUCUGCUAGGAUGCUGGCGUAAUGGCUGUAAGCGGCCCGUCUUGAAACACGGACCAAGGAGUCUAACAUCUAUGCGAUGUUUGGG
rnacentral:rRNA from 1 species